AUCAAAUUGUAAACAAGUUUUCGCCAUCUAGGAACCGCGCACAAAACACGAUACCAAAUACAAGAGGAUAUUCAAAAUUUCUACUGGUCAAGUUGAGUUGCAUAAAUUGGCAACGUGGCUUCUCCUAAAUUUCACGAAAGUACGUCUGCUGUACGGUAAACGGCGGAUUUUUCGUUGGUCGUCGUAUUAACCAAGGAUAACAUAACAAGUGAAAUCCAACUUAUCAGUUUACCAUAAGUCAAAGAUUAAUUUGAUUGGAAUUCUGAAGUCACAUAAAAGAAUAGAAACAACAUUUUGCCAUAUAGAGACAUCGCCAAAACAAAGAAGUCAACUGCUCUAACCUUGACCACCGUGACAUUUCUAAUAAGGUUCUAAAUUAUAGGUUUCUAAAUUGGCAUGACAGACUUAUUUAAGUAAGAGAAAUCAUGUCCUUUCAAAAAAAAGGACAAGGACUACACAGUCAACAAGAUUCCUUGUUUGCUAACUGUUGGCUGCUACCCUUGAAUCUCCCUGUUUGUCAACAACAAAAACAGAGGUUCAAUAUUGUGAUUAUGCUAUCAUAAAUAUAUGGCCUAUAAGACCAAAUGUCUGGUUGUCCCUCUAAAAUAAGGCAAUGACCACACGUUUAACGCGGAUUAUUCGUUUUGUCAUCGAACCUAACUCGUUCCAUCUUCUGGAUUGCUUAGGAAACCGUUACCUGUGUAACUUCAUUGUCAUGUCACUGAAUUUAAAUUUUGUUUCUUGAUUUAGCCAUUUAGGUUAUGACCGAGAAGAUGCGGCCUACAUGAACAUCAUUUAGGCGGUCAGCAUCAUUCGACUACCCAACCGGCUUCUACUACCCUGCUCUCAACACAGCACGGAGUUUUACCCUUUAGAUUUUUGGCUGUGCGCGAUGUACAUGAUGGCGUUUCCUUGGACGAGAUGAUGAUUUUGGCGAUAAAAAUAUUGCGUUCUAAUCUUCAGGUUCCUAAAUUUGCAUGGCAGAGUUUAUGAAAAGUAAUGUU